AGUGAACGCUGGCGGUAGGCCUAACACAUGCAAGUCGAACGGCAGCACAGGAGAGCUUGCUCUCUGGGUGGCGAGUGGCGGACGGGUGAGGAAUACAUCGGAAUCUACUUUUUCGUGGGGGAUAACGUAGGGAAACUUACGCUAAUACCGCAUACGACCUACGGGUGAAAGCAGGGGAUCUUCGGACCUUGCGCGAUUGAAUGAGCCAAUGUCGGAUUAGCUAGUUGGCGGGGUAAAGGCCCACCAAGGCGACGAUCCGUAGCUGGUCUGAGAGGAUGAUCAGACACACUGGAACUGAGAUAAGGUCCAGACUCCUACGGGAGGCAGCAGUGGGGAAUAUUGGACAAUGGGCGCAAGCCUGAUCCAGCCAUACCGCGUGGGUGAAGAAGGCCUUCGGGUUGUAAAGCCCUUUUGUUGGGAAAGAAAUCCAGCUGGUUAAUACCCGGUUGGGAUGACGGUACCCAAAGAAUAAGCACCGGCUAACUUCGUGCCAGCCGCCGCGGUAA
rnacentral:rRNA from 1 species